rnacentral:rRNA from 1 species
UACGUAGGGUGCGAGCGUUGUCCGGAAUUAUUGGGCGUAAAGAGCUCGUAGGCGGUUUGUCGCGUCUGCCGUGAAAGUCCGGGGCUCAACUCCGGAUCUGCGGUGGGUACGGGCAGACUAGAGUGAUGUAGGGGAGACUGGAAUUCCUGGUGUAGCGGUGAAAUGCGCAGAUAUCAGGAGGAACACCGGUGGCGAAGGCGGGUCUCUGGGCAUGUCCUGACGCUGAGGAGCGAAAGUGUGGGGAGCGAACAGG